rnacentral:rRNA from 1 species
UACGUAGGGUGCGAGCGUUAAUCGGAAUUACUGGGCGUAAAGCGUGCGCAGGCGGUUCGCCAAGUCAGGUGUGAAAUCCCCGGGCUUAACCUGGGAAUUGCGCUUGAAACUAGCGAGCUUGAGUGUGGCAGAGGGGGGUGGAAUUCCACGUGUAGCAGUGAAAUGCGUAGAGAUGUGGAGGAACACCGAUGGCGAAGGCAGCCCCCUGGGCUAACACUGACGCUCAUGCACGAAAGCGUGGGGAGCAAACAGG